UACGGAGGGUGCAAGCGUUAAUCGGAAUUACUGGGCGUAAAGCGUGCGUAGGUGGUUUGUUAAGUCCGUUGUGAAAGCCCCGAGCUCAACUUGGGGAAUUGCAGUGGAUACUGGCAAGCUGGAGUGCGGUAGAGGAAGGUGGAAUUCCCGGUGUAGCGGUGAAAUGCGUAGAGAUCGGGAAGAACACCCGUGGCGAAGGCGGCUCUCUGGGACGGUACUGACGCUGAGACGCGAAAGCGUGGGGAGCGAACAGG
rnacentral:rRNA from 1 species